rnacentral:rRNA from 1 species
UACAGAGGUGGCAAGCGUUGUUCGGAAUUACUGGGCGUAAAGGGCGCGUAGGCGGCCCGUCAAGUCCCGUGUGAAAGCCCCCGGCUCAACCGGGGAACGGCGCGGGAAACUAGCAGGCUUGAGUUCGGGAGAGGGAAGCGGAAUUCCGGGUGUAGCGGUGAAAUGCGCAGAUAUCCGGAGGAACACCUGAGGUGAAGACGGGUUGCUGGGCCGACACUGACGCUGACAGCGCGAAAGCCAGGGGAGCAAACGGG